AAGUCACAAUGCUAGCCCUCACCGGAACAGCAGACCAGCACACCCAGAAAAUUAUCAAGGAGGAGCUUCUCUUAAGCCCUAACACAGAGGAACUUUGUGUGAGCCCAAAUAGAAAAAACCUAAAGUUUUUUGCAGUAAAAGCAUGGAUGAGUUACUUUGCUCAGCUGGUCCUAAAUUGAAGCAGACAAAAAACACAAUUGAAUGCUAAGAACCACUUUCAAUGGGCAAUUCCAGCUGCUAUAACACAAACAUUGUGUUGAAGAAUUGUGUAGCAUUUGUCAAAUGGUGUUAAACAACCCAUGCUGCAUUCUGUUGGUAGUGUGCAUUACAACUUGGGCAUCUUGAAUAAAAAGGAGCACACACUUAUAUAGCUGGAAUAAUCAUUGUUCGGAGCCUUAAUUGUGAGUAGAUUUCUCACACCAUCCAAGAACUUCACUAUUUACACAAAUUACCCUUCUCAAGGGGUGGGGCACCCUUUACCCUUGAUUGCUAACUUAAUGGUAAUAUAAACAACCGUUGAUGAACAUGCCUCCCAAUUCAUUACUAGAAAUGUAUGACCCAAAGGACAUAAAACAGGGCCUCAAACCUUUUUUGCUUAGAUGCCAGCUGGCGACUAAAAGGAAACAUUUGGUGACCAGCUGAAAAUCUAGUCGUCAGCACUUGGUUUGGUGGCAUGGCAACCAGUGAGUUGCGAUUUCGAGCCAUGUAAAAACAGGGAUUGAAAUUCAGAAAAAAAUCAUCUGGGGUACAAUUAUACAAUGUACGAUAGUGCCAGAUUUACAUCCAAAUUUUAGCUGUUUCCUUGCUCCCAAUCAUUCCUCACAUGGCAAGAGAGAUCUCUGAAUUCACCGCAGUAUUUGCUGUCCAUGUCUAGUCAAAUCAAGCAAAACUUAGCUAAUGAUGUAAUUGAGGGAAAAGUCUCGCCAAGUGGGGAAUGAUCGGGAGUGAGGCAAUGGCCGAAAUUCAGGCUAUUCUACACACCUAAAUGGAAAAUGAUACGGCUAAUAUCAAUUCGCAACACGAUUUACCAGCUAAUUCUUGAAACUUUUUUUUCAGUUGUCUCUUCUCCCCAACUUUUCUUGCUCCACAUCUAUCCAAUUCUUAAUCAGACAGCCCUUCCUUUAUACACAAGCCAUCUAUUCUUUGAUCUAUAUAAAAUGCAAAAUCCGCAAAGUAGUUUUAAGUAGUGUGAAACAAAACAUUCUCUAAUACUUAUUUCAGAAAUUGAUUGUACAUUAUCCUCUUUUGAUUUACAAAAUAAUGUUGCAAAUUAGCAUCACGAUUUUAGAACAAAUUAGCAAAUUUGAAAAGAUAUUGCCAUCAAGAUAGCUAUCAAAAUAACAAGUCACUUUGCUGAAACAUACUUGUUUUUUUUUUACGGAUUGUCUGGGAUUUUUUUUGUGCUGAUUUCUUUCUUCAUUCUAUAGUAUUUUUUCUUGGAGCAAAAGGUAAAUUUAAAAAAACACAAUAUUUUUGAGAAAUGUUUUUUUUUUUCUUUGCACUGAAUUACAAGUAAAACAAAAUAUUAAUCCAUGAAUAGUUUAUGCACACAUGUACACAAAAACAUCAUCAGUGUUUUUAUCAAUAUGUGUCAAAAAUCUUGUACAAGAAAAAUUAAAAGCUUGCAGCUUUAGAUUUUGUGUCUUUUUAGAGGUAAACAUGUCAGUAGUCAUGAACCUGUUAAAAAUAAUUAUUAAUUCUACCAACAUAUGUCAAAAGCUAUACCCAAAAGCUAUGUAAAACUACGAAAAUUUAUUUGGUACACGAUUUUGCGUGGUGGACACCUGAACUUCUCAUCAUCUCAGCUGAUUGGAACAGAGGGAGUGCCACAUUUAACUGUCUUUCUCAGUGCAGCAAAUAAAUGCAACGUUGUAGUGUCCUGUAAAGCAACUUUUCUAACAAUAGCCUAAGAGGCCCAUUUGAAAGCUUAUUCAUGUUUCCACUAUCUUUUAUUUCAUGAAUGUCGAUCAUCACAUCCUCGUCUUCAAUAGUGUUCCAGUCUUCGAAAAUCUGAAACGGGACAGCUACACUUGACAGCCGUUUAGACUUGGAAACCAAUUUGGGUUUCUGCGACAUCCAGCUCUCCGGCAACUCCUCCAGAAAAGCUUUAAGUUCUGAAAAGACCAAUAGGAAAACAAGAUCUCAUACGGGCUCAUAACACACGCUUCAUUGACAGGAUUUGUUACAUUCUAGAAGGACUGCAUUUUGUUAUAACAACAAAAGUGUACGUGGACCUGAACUGCAUGCCUACAUUCUGUCAGACAGAUGCUACCACAGUGCACAGUCACCUUACUUGGUUAAAGUGACAGCCCCUUGCAUGUUGUGUACUGUACUUGCCUUUCGCUGCUAUAGAGAUUGAAAAUCCCAACGCGCAUAAAUCCUUUCUUGGAAAAAUGUUGCAAAUUCGAGAACAACAUUGCUUCCGGAUCCAGGACACUCAUUAUAUCCUUUCUUGGAAGACUGUUGCAAAUUCGAGAACAACAUUGCGACCGGAUCCAGGACACUUCGUUCACAGGUCAAUCAAACAACUCUUAUCUUUUUCUCGGGCCGUUAUAAUAAUGUGCAAAACAUCACAAAUGAAAUAAAUUAUCUACUCUAUUAAGUGCCGCAAAACGCAUAAAUAUCAUUAAUAUCAUGAAUGCAUUUUCGUGUGAAUGGUCUUUUGGUCCGUUGCUCGUUUUAAUCUUUCACGUUUUAAUUUUUGUUUUGUUUAAGAAUAGUGGAAAGGGUCAGAAGCACUCUGUGACCCAAUUUUUUAAAAUUCCGAAUUGAUUUGGUAACAAAUAAACUACAAUUUGCAAAAAAA